rnacentral:rRNA from 1 species
GAUGAACGCUGGCGGCGUGCCUAAUACAUGCAAGUCGAGCGAACAGACGAGGAGCUUGCUCCUCUAACGUUAGCGGCGGACGGGUGAGUAACACGUGGAUAACCUACCUAUAAGACUGGGAUAACUUCGGGAAACCGGAGCUAAUACCGGAUAAUAUAUUGAACCGCAUGGUUCAAUAGUGAAAGACGGUUUUGCUGUCACUUAUAGAUGGAUCCGCGCCGCAUUAGCUAGUUGGUAAGGUAACGGCUUACCAAGGCAACGAUGCGUAGCCGACCUGAGAGGGUGAUCGGCCACACUGGAACUGAGACACGGUCCAGACUCCUACGGGAGGCAGCAGUAGGGAAUCUUCCGCAAUGGGCGAAAGCCUGACGGAGCAACGCCGCGUGAGUGAUGAAGGUCUUCGGAUCGUAAAACUCUGUUAUUAGGGAAGAACAAAUGUGUAAGUAACUAUGCACGUCUUGACGGUACCUAAUCAGAAAGCCACGGCUAACUACGUG